rnacentral:rRNA from 1 species
UACCCAACAGCUAGCCCCACCCCCCAAAAUAAUUAAAUCAACAUAACUUAAACCCUAAGACCCAAAAUUUUAAUUACCAAACCAUUUUUCCUCCCUAGUAUGGGCGACAGAAAAG